AUUGAACGCUGGCGGCAUGCUUUACACAUGCAAGUCGAACGGUAACAGGCCUUCGGGUGCUGACGAGUGGCGAACGGGUGAGUAAUGCAUCGGAACGUACCCAGAGGUGGGGGAUAACGCAGCGAAAGCUGUGCUAAUACCGCAUGUGAUCUGAGGAUGAAAGCGGGGGACCGAGCAGCAAUGUUUGGCCUCGCGCCUUUGGAGCGGCCGAUGUCGGAUUAGCUAGUUGGUGGGGUAAAGGCCUACCAAGGCGACGAUCCGUAGCUGGUCUGAGAGGACGACCCGCAACAGUGGGACUGAGACACGGCCCAGACCCCUAGGGGAGGCAGCAGGGGGGAAUUUUGAAAAAGGGGCGCAAGCCUGACCCAGCAAGGCCGGGGGGGGGAAGAAGGCCUCCGGGUUGUAAACCGCUUUUGGGAGGAACGAAACGGUGUCCGCUAAUCCCGGGCGCAAAUGCCGGUACCGGCAAAAAAAGCACCGGAUAACUACGU
rnacentral:rRNA from 1 species